rnacentral:rRNA from 1 species
UACGGAAGGCAGCAGUGGGGAAUAUUGCACAAUGGGCGCAAGCCUGAUGCAGCCAUGCCGCGUGUAUGAAGAAGGCCUUCGGGUUGUAAAGUACUUUCAGUCGUGAGGAAGGUGUUAAGGUUAAUAACCUUAGCAAUUGACGUUAGCGACAGAAGAAGCACCGGCUAACUCCGUGCCAGCAGCCGCGGUAAUACGGAGGGUGCGAGCGUUAAUCGGAAUUACUGGGCGUAAAGGGCACGCAGGCGGUUAAUUAAGUUGGAUGUGAAAUCCCCGGGCUUAACCUGGGAAUGGCAUUCAAGACUGGUUAGCUAGAGUCUUGUAGAGGGGGUAGAAUUCCAUGUGUAGCGGUGAAAUGCGUAGAGAUGUGGAGGAAUACCGGUGGCGAAGGCGGCCCUCUGGGCAAAGGCUGACGCUCAUGUGCGAAAGCGUGGGGAGCAAACAGGAUUAGAUACC